AAAUUGUACAUUUUUGUUGUUGUGAUAAGGGAAAAAAUAUGAAAUAUGUUACAGCAGCAACAAUGCCCCUGUAGUAAUACUCCAUUAACUCAUAAAUAUUAAGGGUGCUUUAAAACUGCCCUUUUUUCAGUCCUUCCAAUGUCUGUAUGAAAGUUUCAUAACCAUCCCUUGUCACAAACACACACAAAAUGCUUCAUAAUCUAUGUUUUCAUGUCUUUUCCCCUGAAGUCUCUACCUAAAUAAAUUCCGCAACCUUUGCCCUCCAGUUUUGACUCAUGAAACCAAAUUAUCUGAUGAGUACAUUUGUGUCAUCUCUAAUGCAUGGGUGGCCUGCUACAUCUGACUGGACUCCAGUUCCUAUCAGCCCCUGUAAACAUGGCAGUUGGCUGAGGUUGAUAGGCCUUGAAGUCUCAGGACUACUCAUUCCCCACCUGAAUUGUGAUGCCAAAAGACACAAACUUUCUGGUUAUAGGGGAUUUAAAACGACAACAAAAAAGAAUUCUAGAUCCUCCAUUCUAAUAUUCCCUAGUCUGCCAGUGCCCUUGUGCGAAAGAUGUGUUUACUGAUGCUUAACCACGGUGUGUUUCUCCGGUUCACAGAAAAAACUGAAACCAUACCUAAAGUCCCUGAAGAAGAAACUGAGAGACAUGGUUAUCAAUGAGUCUGAUCAGCAGAAGGAAAUUGCAAGCCUUGAGAGUUGUACCGAAGAUACAUUGAGUUACAUUGGCAAGGAAUUUGGGGUUCUCCAUCAGAUCUUGCAUGAGAAGGAAGAAGAUAUUAAGAGGCAGUUCCAGGAGCUGAAGGAGCUGAAUCUGGACGAGAUGCAGGACGCCUUAACCUCUUUUAAAGAUGACAUGUCCUCAUGCACUAAGCACAUUGCCAGCAUUAAAGCGGCAUUAGCAACUACAGAUAGUGUUGCCUUUCUCAAGGACUUCAAGGACCUGAUGGACGAAGUCAAGGAGGGUCAUUUCAAGUGUGUAGAAGAUGACACUGGCAAUGCGAAUUAUGAAGAGUGGGGCACAAGUGAUGAAGAGAGUGACUCAUCUGAUAAAAGCCCAAGUGAUAGUGAGGGGGAGAAGUCAGCCCAAGCAGAGCCUGGCGAUAACAAAGGACUGGGGGCCAUUCUGCUGGAAGAAGACAAAGAUGACAGUGAAGAAGAAGAAGAAGAGGAAGAAGGGGUGGAGGAUGACAGAUUGGUACCAGUGAUGACAGAAGUUGAAGAAUUCACUGCCUCCUUAGACUUUGAAGCUUGGAAGUUAAUGUUGAAGAGUAUAGAGCCAAAGGAGGACUAAAACAGUGCAUCUGCAGUUAAUCGGAAGGGGUGAUCAUGACUCUAGCUUUGCAAGAAACUGCACCCUGGAAGUAAGACAAAUGGCUCUGGGUAGAGUUACUUGCUGGACUUCAACAGAUGGCCCUAAGCACUCGGAUUAGAGGGGGGGGGGAGUGGAAUUCAAUUCUCUAUAAGAAUGGCUGAAACCGGAAACUUUGGCCAUUGCCAUGAGGCAGUAAUGUUUAUUUUCAUUCGUUUAUUAUAGCAAGCACUGUUUUCAGAUAUUUAUUCAGUGGGAGUGUGGUCUGUCUUUUGACAACAACUCCCAGACUGUCUCACUCAGCAGGGCCCAUUACCUAUGCAGACUUGGGAAUUCUAUAUGUUGUACUCCAGGAAAAAACAUUUCUAGUUUCAGUUGGGGAUAUGGACACUUUGGUUCUCUAGUAUCACCAUUACUUUUCGGAUUAAUUAAACUUUAUAACUGAAAAUUUUAUUUGUUGUUAUCUUUUGUAUACCCUGGCCAGACGCUCAGAACAUUUUUUUUUUCAUUUUUCUCUCUUGCCCCUGUAUAGUUUUCCCUACAGUGUCCUUCUUAGACCAGAGACCAAAAUCCUGUUUCAUAAUCUGUGCCUGCAUAAGGAUGCUGACAUCGGUGGCAGAGGGAGAGUUGCAGUAAAUUCUACUUCCAUCACAGGAUUCCCACACCUUGCAAGUGUUGGGAUUGAUCGCAUCUAUGUUAGAGGUGCACCACAGAACAGAAGCAGAAACUCUUAAUCACCUAAAAUCUUCAUCAGUGACAUAAUCCCGCUUAUGUAUGCGUAAUUUAUAGAACAGGGUUUGGGCCGUAAAGCUGACGGGAAUCAAAGGGCUCAUCUAAUCGAACCUAUGCCAGUGCAGGAAGUUUGCUGCAGUGCAGAUGGGUUGCCUUAGCCAUGUCAAGGGCCAUGUUCCAGAUUUGCCAGCAGCUGGGGACCACAAGGGGCAGUGGCUAAUUUAUAAUUUCUAGAGUUUGUUUGUAAAAUUGCUACAGUGAAUUUCUCUUAACUGAAAAUUUGAUUUAACGGGGGGAGGUUUAACUGAAACCCCCCUUAUAUUGUCUGUGCCCUACAGUUUAGGAGGCCUGAGGGGACUUCCUGAGCAAAGAAUGGAGGGAGGGAACAAGACGUGAUGGGGCCCACAUACAGCCCCCCCAGUUAUAUUUACCUGCCGCUAUGGUACAGUAACUUUGCUAAUUAGCUAUCCAACCGCUGCUUUAAAAUAUGCAGCCGAGGAGAGAGCAGUGCCUUCUGAGAUGGUGCAUUCAGGCUGCUGGGCACUUCCUGUCCUCAGGACGUUCCUCCUAACAUUUACAAAUGUUAAUUUGUAAAUUUAUAAAUGUUAAUUUGCAAAGUACAGCACUCCAGAUGCUCCUGGACUGGAAUUCCCAUCCAUAAGCCAGUAUGGUCAGUAGUAUGGGGAGAUGAAGCUACAUUUUGUACACCCCGGAAUUUAGCUGAAAACUUUUUUUGGUGUAGGUUGAAUCUUGCAGCUCAUGACACCUUCUCUGAAGGACAUAUUGCCUCCACAGAAUCAUAGCAUAAUGGAGUUGGAAGGGGGCCUAUAAGGGAAUUGAGUCCAACCUCUCCUGAUCAAUGCAGGAAUCCAAAUCAAAGCAGUUCUGACAGAUGGUUGUCCAAUUUUCUCUUGAAUGCCUCCAUGAUCUAAUUUGGCAACUUUUCAUAUAUUUGGAGGUAGUUCUUCUGUGCCUUGUUUGAUAAUAUCUUCCCUAGGCCAAACAUGCUCAGCUCCUUCAACUUGCCACAGAGCAUGAUUUCCAAGGCAUUUGUUAGCUUGGCCACCUUCCCUUGGGCUUGAUCCAUUUCAUUAGUAACUUUCUCAAGCCACCAGGCCUUUGUCCAGUUAAGGUCUUACUAAAGCCGUUGCACAGGUUAUCAAUAAUUAUUUAUUUAUUAAAUUUAUACCCUGCCCAUCUAGACACAAGUCUACUCUGGGUGGCUAACAAUAAAAAUGGAAUAAAAACAGUAUAAUAAAAUAAA
ensembl:lncRNA AT-rich interactive domain-containing protein 4B-like